rnacentral:rRNA from 1 species
AACGAACGCUGGCGGCAUGCCUAACACAUGCAAGUCGAACGAAGCCUUCGGGCUUAGUGGCGCACGGGUGCGUAACGCGUGGGAAUCUGCCCUUGGGUUCGGAAUAACAGUUAGAAAUGACUGCUAAUACCGAAUGAUGUCUUCGGACCAAAGAUUUAUCGCCCAAGGAUGAGCCCGCGUCGGAUUAGCUAGUUGGUGAGGUAAAGGCUCACCAAGGCGACGAUCCGUAGCUGGUCUGAGAGGAUGAUCAGCCACACUGGGACUGAGACACGGCCCAGACUCCUACGGGAGGCAGCAGUGGGGAAUAUUGGACAAUGGGCGAAAGCCUGAUCCAGCAAUGCCGCGUGAGUGAUGAAGGCCUUCGGGUUGUAAGACUCUUUGGUCGGGACGAUGAUGA